rnacentral:lncRNA from 1 species
AUGGCGGAUCCUUGUCCAGUGAACUGCAGCAGCUGGGGCUGUCCCAAGAGCAUGCAGCCGGCCUGUGCUGCUGUUAUGAGGAGAAGCAAAGCCCCUUGCAGAAGCACUUGUGGGUCUGCAGCCUACGCAGCAAGUAUGAGGCCAGCCAGGGUCCAGGCUCCUUCUAGAAGGUGCAUGCAGCACACAAGUGCAUGGAGAGUCCAAGGAGACAACUUAACCAUGGUCACAUACCAAGCAGCUGCAGAGCUGGGACCUGGCCCUGGCUCUCCCUGACUCCGCGGGCUGUGUGAUGUGUACAUACAGGAUCAGACCUUGCCCUUUCCUCCUGGCUGACCCUUCCCUAGUCCCCUGUGCCCCAUGUGUGAGCAACCAGCUCUCUCUUAUUCCUCCCUCUCCGAAGUGUGGUCCCUGGGAGCACGAGUAGCAGAAGGGGCAGCAGAGAUUGUGG